rnacentral:tRNA from 1 species
GUUUUUGUAGCUUACCCAUCUAAAGCACGACACUGAAAAUGUCACGACGAAGCACAUCGCCUCCAAAAACA